rnacentral:rRNA from 1 species
AACGAACGCUGGCGGCAGGCCUAACACAUGCAAGUCGAGCGAGGACUUCGGUUCCAGCGGCGGACGGGUGAGUAACGCGUGGGAAUGUGCCCUUCUCUACGGAAUAGCCCUGGGAAACUGGGAGUAAUACCGUAUACGCCCUUUUGGGGAAAGAUUUAUCGGAGAAGGAUCAGCCCGCGUUGGGUUAGGUAGUUGGUGGGGUAAUGGCCUACCAAGCCGACGAUCCAUAGCUGGUUUGGGAGGAUGAUCAGCCACACUGGGACUGAGACACGGCCCAGACCCCUACGCGAGGCAGCAGUGGGGAAUCUUAGACACUGGGGGCAACCCUGAUAUAGCCAUGCCGCGUGAGUGAUGAAGGCCUUAGGGUUGUAAAGCUCUUUCAGCUGGGAAGAUAAUGACGGUACCAGCAGAAGAAGCCCCGGCUAACUCCGUG